rnacentral:lncRNA from 1 species
UUGCGACUGUAAUAGGUACUUUCCGCAUCUGGUAAAAAUGUGUUUGUUUAUUUGCCAGUCAUAAUUCUUUUAAAAAAUAAAGAUAACAUCUUAAAAGUUUGGCAAGUUUCAGGUUGACCUGAAUUGAUGCGAUAGGUUACAUUAUUGAAUGUACAGUAUUUGCAACAAGAUUUCAUAACUCAACAACUUGCAUUUAUGAUCGUUUUCAGUUGAAAAGUGCAAAAUCGAGAGAGAAGUUUUCAACAUAUCUGAAAACGUCUAAUUAAUAUUUUAAAAUUAUUUAUCGCUAUUUAACUCAAUCGAAUUAUCUGUUGUCGAAUUUUAUACGAUUCCAUAUCAGCUAAAGUUUUGUAAUUAAAAAAAAAAACAUUGUCUUUAGAAUGUCGAGUGCAUGUCAUUUAAAAAGUGCUCAACAACUCAAACCUCCACCAAAUGUGACAAUUCCUGGCGAUAUGGGUCCGACAGACGAUUUCUUUUCUUCAUCCGAUCAAUUGCCAAAAAUUCUCUUAGUCCUAUUGUAGGAACGAAUGCAAACGAAAAUCAUUUUAUAUUUUAUUACAAAUGUGAAAUAAAGAACGACACGACGACUUCUCUGCGAAACUUAAAAUAUUUCCACGUAACAUUGCUCAUCAAUGCUUUAAACAUCUUUUAAUGCUGAAAAUUUCGAACUAUUUCUUUUUUCAAAGUUAUGGAGUUUGACACGAAGUCGUAAAACAUGCUUGACGCCUAUACAAAAACACGGGACAAUCUCUAAACAGCUGAUCCUGUCUUGGGUCAAGUGACCUAGGUCCUCCUGGGGGCACUGGUGACCUUUCUUGCUUGGGGUGCCAUUUGGCCUAGAUCACAGUUUGCUUUGACAUAGCUGACUGUUAGAUAUACAGUAAUACAACACAUUUUUAAUACUGGCAUUUGAGAUACUAUCUAAAAGUUUUAAUAGUUUUUUUAACCUUUAAAAUUUUUGCCUAUUUGUAUGCGAUUCAUAAAUUGCAUAUUUUUCUACGCAGAUUGGAAACUGUCAGUAGAAUUUUCGUACGCAAUAAAUCAAUUCAAAAC